UCCGUCGUGAGGCGGAGUCCUAAGGAAGCCGGAGCAAACCCUCAACCGGAGGUACACGAACCCGAUCGGAGGCUGUGAAAGCCGGACGAGUCUGAACAACAAGACGAAGUCCUAAGCACCCAAAGGCUAUGGCAGAAUAUUGGGCAGGUGCAUAAAUGGAUUGUAAGGAC
rfam:Caldibacillus debilis strain B4135 NODE_48, whole genome shotgun sequence.